AGGAAAUAAUUAAGAGGCUGCGUGCUCUCCACAGACUCCCUUUGUUCCCUGCCAUGCUGCCACACCAUAGAUGGAGUGAUAUAGAGCAGCACUCCCCUCAUCCUCUGAUGGAUGCAUAAUUAAAAAAUCAUCCAAUCAUCCAAACCUUUGUCCACUCACCCUCUGUCCUAAUAAAACCUUUGAAAUGGC